rnacentral:rRNA from 1 species
AUUGAACGCUGGCGGCAUGCUUUACACAUGCAAGUCGAACGGCAGCGCGGGCUUCGGCCUGGCGGCGAGUGGCGAACGGGUGAGUAAUACAUCGGAACGUGCCCAGUAGUGGGGGAUAGCUCGGCGAAAGCCGGAUUAAUACCGCAUACGACCUGAGGGUGAAAGCGGGGGAUCUUCGGACCUCGCGCUAUUGGAGCGGCCGAUGGCAGAUUAGCUAGUUGGUGGGUAAAGGCCUACCAAGGCGACGAUCUGUAGCUGGUCUGAGAGGACGACCAGCCACACUGGGACUGAGACACGGCCCAGACUCCUACGGGAGACAGCAGUGGGGAAUUUUGGACAAUGGGCGAAAGCCUGAUCCAGCAAUGCCGCGUGUGUGAUGAAGGCCUUCGGGUUGUAAAGCACUUUUGGCGGGAACGAAAAGGACUGUGCCAAUACCACGGUUCGAUGACGGUACCCGCAGAAUAAGCACCGGCUAACUACGUG